GACAGAGGUGCCAAGCGUUAGGCGGAAUCACUGGGCUUAAAGCGUGUGUAGGCGGACUUGUAAGUACCUUGUGAAAUCCCACGGCUCAACCGUGGAACUGCUUGGUAUACUGCUUGUCUUGAGCCACUUAGGGGCUACCGGAACAAAUGGUGGAGCGGUGAAAUGCGUAGAUAUCAUUUGGAACGCCAACGGUGAAAACAGCUCGCUGGGGGUGUGCUGACGCUGAGACACGAAAGCCAGGGGAGCAAACGGG
rnacentral:rRNA from 1 species